UUUAACUGGAUUGGAAAUCAAAAAAAUCCAGAUUCUUCUUCCACAGAAGUUUCAUUUGUCAGUGUGGGACUGCUGAGUCACCUGAAGAACUCAUUUCAUUCUCCACGAUGUUGAUUUACAGAAAUGUUUCACAGGAACUGAUUCCUCCCAAAGGGUGAACUAGUGUGUUUCCAUAGAUUACCUCUGUAUGAAUGUACUUCUUAAAUGAAGGCAAGUGUUUGUCCUUUUUUGUUCCUCAGGUACAGUACGUGAUAUUAAGGGCAGGCGGUCAUCACUGGGAGAAGACAAGAAGCAGACGUACUUCCAAGAGGGAGCUGCAGUGAGGACACAGCCUGUCACUGAGGAGGCGCUGAAAGGUUUCCCUAAUAGUUCCUGGUGAAUCAAAGCAGAACCAUAAAGGUUGCUGGACUGCAUGAUGGCCUUACCCCUGAGCAGUCAUCCUGUUAAAGGAGGAACCAGUUAGAAGCUGUUUUCAAAGUAGCUGAGCAGAUUUCAUCUCAACAGACAAAGCCGAUGGCAGAAGAUGUUUGGAGAAGAACUUCAGGCCGUGUACUGACAAGAUCAAAGCAGCUCGUGCUCUUUCUGCUUCCAUUUUGAUGGCAAGAAGAAGAAGAAGAAGAAGAAGAAGACUUCAGCGAAGUGGCGU